AGGUUUUGAGUAUUGACACUCAACUUUUGUGCUCAGAUGGUGGAUGGCUAUUGUUGGUGUAGUGGUACUUGGUUUCAAUGGCUUUGAAAGUCUGUGCACUGGUUGGUGGAUAGGCUAAUUGCAUUUCGAUUUUCAUAGCCAAGCUAACGGCAUCUGCUAAUGUCCAUACAGUGUGCAACGUAGCCUGAUCUUGGAUAGCAAGCCGAAGGCCUCCAAUGAAUCUUGCAACUCAUUGCCCCUCGGUCUCCGACAAAUUGUUCCUUGAGUUCAGGCAAAAAAAUUCCUUUGUGUAAUUAGUGACAAUGUGAUUCCCUUGUCGACAAUUCUGAUAUUGUUGAUAUAAGAUCUAUUCAUAAUCUGGUGGUAAAAAUCUAGCCCUCAUCAAGUGAUUCAUCUUUGGCCAUGCUUGAACUGUUUGUUUGCCUUGUCGUCUCCAAUUAUUCUGCAUUUAUGCCCACCAUACUGAAGCCCCGCCUCGCAAUUUAUAUGCUACCAGUUUAACUUGUUGUGCUUCCGGUAUCUGCAUGUAGUCGAGAAAAUUCUCUACGUCAAAAAGCCAGUCGAUGAAGCUUUCGACGUAAAGUGGUCGUUGAAGCAAGGUAGUCAAUUUUUAUGCGAUAGUUGUUGGUGCUCUCUGGACCUCUUCUAAUAUCGUUGCCUCCCCCCACAUAUCCUUCGAGUUCCUCAUCACUGGAAGAAUCAACUUGUUCAUGUCAUUCACAUCGUGGCAAAAACCCACGAUCUUGGCCAAGUCAAUCGUCAUGGUUUCUAGGGCAUUCAACACGUAGGCUUGUGAUGGUUUGUUGUAUCUCCUUGUCGAUACGUUC